UUUUAGGUAUGAGCCUUGCAAGAAGACAUACAUAUUUUGCUGAUUGCCAAGGGGAUAAUGCAUUGGGUAUAAGAAGAAGGAAAGUAGAGGAACCAAUUAAGAAAUAUUUACUACAAUUAAGAAGAGAUGAUAAUAACUUCGACCAAGGUGGAGGCUAUGAAGAUGGAGCAAUGCGAAUACAUGGAGACAUGUUUUUGAUGUAGACUCAGCAAGAAAUUCUAAUAUAUUAGAUUUUAUGUUUUGGGAGAAAAAGAGACAUCUCCAAGAUUAUGGCUUGAAUAGAUUGGGACUAAUAGUGAAACUUGAGAGUGAUCACAUAUGGAGAUGAAAGAUUGAAAGACCUCUCGCUGAACAUAAUAUAGAAGGUCUAAAAUACUCUCAAGUCCCCUCCAUCUCAAAAUGACAGCAGUAACAGUGAAAACUAAACAUAGCUGUACCAAGGUCUUUAUGUGGCUAUUGCUUUGAAGACAAAGAAUAACGAAGAUUGAGCCCAGCAUCUUGCUAUUAAGGAAAAGUGAGUUCUUUUCCUUCUCUCAUAAACUAAAUUAGGCCAAAUAAAUAUUGUAUUUCCCUUGUUUACCUAUUUUUUGUUCAUCUUACAAAUAUGGCAAGUCUAGGGCUACAAAUCAA
rnacentral:lncRNA from 1 species